rnacentral:rRNA from 1 species
AUUGAACGCUGGCGGCAGGCUUAACACAUGCAAGUCGAGCGGAGUGAUGGUGCUUGCACUAUCACUUAGCGGCGGACGGGUGAGUAAUGCUUAGGAAUCUGCCUAUUAGUGGGGGACAACAUCUCGAAAGGGAUGCUAAUACCGCAUACGUCCUACGGGAGAAAGCAGGGGAUCACUUGUGACCUUGCGCUAAUAGAUGAGCCUAAGUCGGAUUAGAUAGUGGGUGGGGUAAAGGCCUACCAAGGCGACGAUCUGUAGCGGGUCUGAGAGGGUGAGCCGCCACACUGGGACUGAGACACGGCCCAGACGCCUACGGGAGGCAGCAGUGGGGAAUAUUGGACAAUGGGGGGAACCCUGAUCCAGCCAUGCCGCGUGUGUGAAGAAGGCCUUAUGGUUGUAAAGCACUUUAAGCGAGGAGGAGGCUCUUUUGGUUAAUACCCAAGAUGAGUGGACGUUACUCGCAGAAUAAGCACCGGCUAACUCUGUGCCAGCAGCCGCGGUAA